rnacentral:rRNA from 1 species
UACGUAGGGUGCAAGCGUUAAUCGGAAUUACUGGGCGUAAAGCGUGCGCAGGCGGUUUUGUAAGUCUGAUGUGAAAUCCCCGGGCUUAACCUGGGAAUUGCGUUGGAGACUGCAAGGCUAGAAUCUGGCAGAGGGGGGGUAGAAUUCCACGUGUAGCAGUGAAAUGCGUAGAGAUGUGGAGGAACACCGAUGGCGAAGGCAGCCCCCUGGGUCAAGAUUGACGCUCAUGCACGAAAGCGUGGGGAGCAAAC